rnacentral:lncRNA from 1 species
ACCGGCCUAGGCCGACGGGCUACCCUCAGUGGCAGCUGCUCUUUAUCUGAGCAAUGGGCUUCCACUCACCUUCCCCUGCCCCUGAGGAGAGAAUGAUCAUUGUGUCACUCAAGUAUCUUUGGGACCUCCUGCUGCUUCCUCUGGAUGGUUUGAGUGCAAAGCCCUGGGGUUUGGUUUUCGUUCGGCCCUGGAGAGUUGGUGCUAGCCUCUCAAGUUCUGGGCCCCUGGCAUGGGGCGAGCCUUGGGAGAUGGAGGCACCUCCACCUGACCCUGCAGUAGAGGGUGCCCUGGGCCUGCUCAUCUUAAGACCUUUCACUUGCAGGUGCAAGGCGGGUGGAGCUGAGGCAGGAACCGAGGUUGGCCCUACACAGCUCCCUGCUCCUCCGCACCACUGCAGCAUGGAUGGGGCAGGCCGAGCAAAGCCACAGCCAGCACAGCCCUCUCUGCUGGUCUCGCCCUCACCUGUGAUACGCGGCUCCUGAGAGACAUCAGGCCAGGCUCUGGCAAGAGAGGGGAGAGUGGGUAUGAGACAGUGUCUGCCUGAGCUGGUCCCAUCCACACGCCUGCAGCCUGGCUCUCCUCUGCUUUUUCUGUUUCCUCCUAGUCAGUGGUUCUGCCUGGGCCUUUCUGCCUCCAGGGCCGGGGGGGCUGCCUGAGUGUGCCCCUCAUCCUCUGCGAUGGUUGACUGCCCUGAGCCAAUGCAGGCAGUGCCGAAGGACCCAGUCCACUCACACAUUCUCAGACAGCUCUGCGCACAGUGACUGGGGCCAGCUCUUGAGUCCUGGCAUCCAACGGCAGGUGGCAGUGCCUUUCCAGUUGCUAGAACAGGCCCUUCCCAACAAAAUCACAGGCCUUCAGCAGCAGAGGCGCCCUCUGCCUGCUAUGAUGAUGGUCACGUCACAGCGUGGACAAUGUGUUGCGCAUCAAAUACCAGAUCUCAAAAGGGGAAGGGGGGUGGGUCACAGAAUGGAGGAAAGACUUACAGAAUGAACAUCCCAGGACCGUCUUAGUAACCUCUGACCAGCACAGAGUGGGUUCUAAUAAAUACUGCUGAAUCGAUACUUUGCCAUCUUGCUUGAGAUGAGAAAAUUAGGAUGGACAACCUCACCCCUCAACUGCAGCAGCUUCGUUCCUUCUUGAACUAUCUACCUGCCAACCCUAGAUGCCUGCUGAGAGGUCAAAAGGGAGCAGGAGUGGCAAGACUUCCCCUCCCAUCCCUAAGCCCAUCCUUCUCUGCAGACUUGACACACUGCACACUCCACCUGUCCUGGCUGACGGUGACCCAAGAGCAUCCUUGCCCCUGAGGCUGGGCAUGGGGUCCACGUCUGGUAGAAAGGUCCCAGUGCUCAGUCACAGCCUCAUUCUACCACAGAUGGACUGACAAGUCAACUUUCUGAUGAUGCAGUUCCCAGAGACCUCAGGAUCCUGCCUGUGUGUAGAGUCCCAGGCCAGGACAUUCACUUCCUCUCAAGGACAUCACACUCAUCCCUUCCCGGAAAACCAUUUUAAUUGUAAUAGCUUACACAGGCUGCAGAGAGGGAGACGCAGAGCCGGACCUGACGGGCUGUGCUUUCAAAACUGUGCAGUCUCCUUCCUGGCUCUGAACAGGUUAGCAAGAGUUCUAAGAGGCCCCAGGCCUCCAACCACAAAGGCAGAGAAGUUAGCCCCAGAAAGCUGACAGCUGAAGGCGGGGAGGCUGAGAGUGCUUGGUGUUUGACAGAUGAGUGUUGUGGGAGGAGUAUGGAGUCACACAGAGGCUCCACCCAGCAAGGCCUCUGGCCAGGGGCUAUGUUUAAGGCUGGGGUCAGGCAGAGGCGGGAGCUGCAGGGGAGAGAAGUCUGGCCGGCAAGCCCCAAGGGAAGGACAAAGGCACUGGGGCAGAUGUGACCGUGGACAACCGCAGUGCAGGCAGGGCCCCUACAACGCUACAGCAAGCAAGGCCUUCCAUGAAGCUCAGGGACUUGGCCUCUGCACAAAAGCACCUCCCAGGCAGAAGUUGGAACCAGAGCCCCGAGCCCAACCCUGCCCCAUAACAGAAUGUGGGUGUGGGGCUGGGUCAGCAUGUGGCCCCACCAUCUUUAGCUCAGUGGCAGUUCUGACAGCUUGGGUGGCAAGGAAUCCCAUUUACCCUGCAGCGGCAGCCCCCGCUGGUGUCUCCUGGGCCCUAGAGGAUGGGAGGAAGAGAAGAGAAUGUCAGCGCAGUGCAGAGACUGCCCCCACAGCCGAGCACUCUCCCACCCCGGGCCUUUGCCUCUGCAGGUCCUCCUGCAAGAAUGGCCUGGUCAGCCUCAGCUACCUGAUGGAGAGUCACUGAGGCCUUUUCUGGGCUCCCACAGCACUCAGUCUACCCACGCCUAGAUCCGGGAACAGGCCAGGGAGAGGAUCUGACCACUCUGCAUAUUCUAGACAUGCCAGCAUGCAAGAGGGCAGUUUCCUCUGCCUCCACCUGUCUGAAAGUCUACCUGAACGUAACAACAGGCCCCCAGUUCCAGAGCACACCCCCAAUAACGACAGCUACCAUCUGCAAGAGUGCUCACCAAGUGACAGGCUCUCUAAGCACUUCUCUUGCAAUUUUUCCACUUGAUUCUGACAACAAGCCUGAGAUAAGCCCAGCUAUCAUCUCCAUUUCACAGAGGAAAUGGGGCUGACAGAGGUGAGUGGCAGGCAGCCUAAUCACACAGUCAGUAUGUGCCAGAGCCAGGGGCCAAUCCACCUCCGACUCCAGAUCGAACCUUUACUUGCUGUCCUCUAGGGCAGGGGUGGGCAAACCUUUUCUGCAAAGGGCCAGUCAUUUUGGGCCGGGCAGCCAUACGGCCUCUGCCUCUAGUGUAAAAGCAACCACAGCCAACAUGUGAAUGAAUGAACACGGCUGUGCUCCAAAGCACUUUACCUACGGACACUGAAACGUGGAUUUCAUGUAAUUUUCACGUCACAAAACAGUCAUCUUUUGGUAUUUUUUCAACCAUUUAAAGAUGUAAAGAACAUUCUUGCGGCACGGUGGCUCACGCCUGUAAUCCUAGCACUUUGGCAGGCCGAGGCAGGUGGAUCACCUGCGGUUGGGAAUUUGAGACCAG